UCCAUCCAUAAGCUAUUACAAAUAUGCCUGAGGAUGAAGGUGCUUUACUUUAUCAGGUAGUUGGAGAAACCUGCCCAGCUAACUGACUGGGAAGGUUUGCACCCUCAGGUAAUUCUGCUGCAGGAGAGUCCCCUCAAGCAUGAGAUAGCCACCUUCCUUGAAAAUCCUCACCAAAUGCUUUGGAAUUCAUCUGCACAGGAACUGAAGGAGCAGGGCGAUGGUUUUGUGUUCCUGAGGAGGAACAAGUGCUUGGCAGGACUGCCUCUGCCUGCAGGGAAACGGCUGCAAAAGCAUGUUGAAAUCACAUAUUGGUACUUUGAAG
ensembl:lncRNA